rnacentral:pre_miRNA from 1 species
GAGAUGUGAGAAUACUGGACUAGGAUGCUAUAAUCCAAUGUCAAGUGUUCUCACAAUUACA